UUUCAUGUGUUUUCGAGAAUAUGAUGCGAUCAGUUGCAUAAACUAUGAAUUCACAAUGACGCAGGAAGAACUUUCGAAGCUCCUCGGACACUGAAUGCUCGAACAAACAGAAGAAAAUUCAAACACGAUUAAACUAAAUGAAAUAACCGGGAAAGUUAGCUAAAUGAGCUUUGUAUGUGUUGUCCGUGACCGUGGGCUGCUGGCAACAGUCCAACAAAAUAAUCGACACAGAUGGAUACCAGGGCGCUUCAAAUAAGGAACAAGAUCUGAGUCUGUAGGACAAUGCCUGCACAGAGGCUACACAGCUGUGUGGACAAGCACAACCAGGUCCACUGAUGCAGGGUCACCAUACUCCAAACACAGCUUCCACAGUGGCCAGGAAAACAUUACAACAGGAACACAGUAGCUCCACACCAGGGAAAUGUUAACGCACCUACUGUUUUUUGAAUUGCCUUCUUUUCUCAUCUCGUCAGCUUUCUGCAGGAAAAGUCACACUCAGAACACUCAGUGAAUGAGUGCAGUUGUCUUGUUCAUCUCUCAGCGAGACAUACAAGCAGUUUGUUGUAAUGUAUUUAAGGCAGCACUGAUUGCCAUGCUGCAUAAUGCAAAAAAUGUAAAGCAGCAGACUGCGAGUUCUGACUCAAGAAUAAAGAUGCAAACUGUGA